CCAACAAACAUGCCGCAAAAGAAAGAGUUACAUCAUAUGGAUCUCCAAGAGACCAUUAUAUUGAGAAACAAAACAAGAGAGAAAGUCAUCUAUCUACUGCCUACGGACUCGUAGGUAUGAUAUGAACUGCACGCAUCAUGGGAGGAGCACCAAUGAAGCUAGUGAACCCCUCCAUGAUCGUGUUCUUCUCUGGAAAAGGCUCUAGAUUGAUUUUCAUGGCUGUGGACCUUGAGGUGGCUGAAAUGAUUUUU
rnacentral:lncRNA from 1 species